AGACUUCGGUCAAAGCAGAAGAUACGGAAUAGCGGCAAACGGGUGAGUAACACGUGAGCAAUCUGCCCUUAAAUCUGGAAUAGCUUUGUGAAAAUGAAGGUAAUACCGGAUAACACCACGACAUCGCAUGGUGAUGUGGUCAAAGAUGGGGAUCCUUCGGGACCUGUCGUUUAGGGAUGAGCUCGCGUCCUAUCAGCUUGUUGGUGAGGUAAUGGCUCACCAAGGCUUUUGACGGGUAGCUGGUCUGAGAGGAUGAUCAGCCACACUGGGACUGAGACACUGCCCAGACUCCUACGGGAGGCUGCAGUCGAGAAUAUUUAGCAAUGGACGAAAGUCUGACUAUGCGACGCCGCGUGCAGGAUGACGGCCUUCGGGUUGUAAACUGCUUUUGUUAGGGGAGAAAGUUAUUCGGUUAAUACCUGGGUAAUCUGACGGUACCUGACGAAUAAGCCACGGCCAACUCCGUGCCAGCAGCCGCGGUAAUACGGAGGUGGCAAGCGUUACUCGGAAUCAUUGGGUGUAAAGGGCAAGUAGGCGGUUUGUUAAGUGAGGGGUGAAAUCUUCCGACUCAAUCGGGAAACUGCCUUUCAAACUGACAGACUUGAGGUAGAUAGAGGAAAGCGGAAUUCUAGGUGUAAGGGUGAAAUCUGUAGAUAUCUAGAAGAACACCGGCGGCGAAGGCGGCUUUCUGGAUCUAUCCUGACGCUAAAUUGCGAAAGCUAGGGGAGCAAACAGAAUUAGAUACUCUGGUAGUCCUAGCUGUAAACGAUGAGCACUAGGUGUUGGACCCUUGAGGUUCAGUGCCGCAGCUAACGCAUUAAGUGCUCCACCUGGGGACUACGGUCGCAAGGCUAAAACUCAAAGGAAUUGACGGGGGCCCGCACAAGCGGUGGAACAUGUGGUUUAAUUCGAUGCUACGCGAAGAACCUCACCAAGGUUUGACAUGUAAGAAGUAGUGAACCGAAAGGGAAACGAGUCGUAAAGUCGACAACUUACACAGGUGCUGCAUGGCUGUCGUCAGCUCGUGUCGUGAGAUGUUGGGUUAAGUCCCGCAACGAGCGCAACCAUUAUCUUAUGUUGCCACCCUUAUUAACACUUCGGUGAAGAUAAGGAGCACUCUUAAGAGACUGCCUGGGAUAACCAGGAGGAAGGUGGAGAGGACGUCAAGUCAGUACGGCCCUUAUGCCUUGGGCUACACACGUGUUACAAUGGCCGGUACAAAGGGUUGCCAACCCGCGAGGGGGAGCUAAUCUCUAAAAGCCGGCCCCAGUUCAGAUUGGAGUCUGCAAUCCGACUCCAUGAAGCCGGAAUCGCUAGUAAUGCAAGAUCAGCACGCUUCCGUGAAUACGUUCCCGGGCCUUGUACACACCGCCCGUCAAGCGAUGGGAGCCGGGGGUACCCGAAGUCCUAUGUAGAUAGGCCGAAGGUAAAUCUGGUGACUGGCGCUAAGUCGUAACAAGGUA
rnacentral:rRNA from 1 species